GAUGAACGCUAGCUACAGGCUUAACACAUGCAAGCCGAGGGGUAACGAGAGGAAAGCUUGCUUUCCUUGUCGACGACCGGCGCACGGGUGAGUAACGCGUAUCCAACCUGCCCCCAACUAGGGAAUAACCUUGCGAAAGUAAGACUAAUACCCUAUAAUUUCCUCAGAUGUCAUCUGACGUGGAAUAAAGAUUUAUCGGUUGUGGAUGGGGAUGCGUCUGAUUAGCUUGUUGGCGGGGUAACGGCCCACCAAGGUAACGAACAGUAGGGGUUCUGAGUGGAAGGUCCCCCACAUUGGAACUGGGACACGGUCCAAACUCCUACGGGAGGCAGCAGUGAGGAAUAUUUGUCAAUGGGCGGAGGCCUGAACCAGCCAAGUAGCGUGCAGGAUGACGGCCCUAUGGGUUGUAAACUGCUUUUAUACAGGAAUAAAGUUAGCCACGUGUGGUUACUUGUAGGUACUGUAUGAAUAAGGACCGGCUAAUUCCGUGCCAGCCGCCGCCGUAA
rnacentral:rRNA from 1 species